rnacentral:rRNA from 1 species
GACGAACGCUGGCGGCGUGCUUAACACAUGCAAGUCGAACGGAAAGGCCUCUUUCGGGGGGUACUCGAGUGGCGAACGGGUGAGUAACACGUGAGUAACCUGCCCUUGACUUUGGGAUAACUUCAGGAAACUGGGGCUAAUACCGGAUAGGAGCUCCUGCUGCAUGGUGGGGGGUGGAAAGUUUCGGCGGUUGGGGAUGGACUCGCGGCUUAUCAGCUUGUUGGUGGGGUAGUGGCUUACCAAGGCUUUGACGGGUAGCCGGCCUGAGAGGGUGACCGGCCACAUUGGGACUGAGAUACGGCCCAGACUCCUACGGGAGGCAGCAGUGGGGAAGAUUGCACAAUGGGUGGAAGCCUGAUGCAGCAACGCCGUGUGCGGGAUGACGGCCUUCGGGUUGUAAACCGCUUUCGCUCAUGACGAAGCUUUGUGUGACGGUAGUGGGUAAAGAAGCACCGGCUAACUACGUG